UACAGAGGGUGCGAGCGUUAAUCGGAAUUACUGGGCGUAAAGCGUGCGUAGACGGUUUUGUAAGUCGGAUGUGAAAUCCCCGGGCUCAACCUGGGAAUUGCAUUCGAGACUGCAAGGCUUGGGUGCGGAAGAGGGAAGCGGAAUUUCCGGUGUAGCGGUGAAAUGCGUAGAUAUCGGAAGGAACAUCAGUGGCGAAAGCGGCUUCCUGGUCCACCACCGACGUUCAGGCACGAAAGCGUGGGGAGCAAACAGG
rnacentral:rRNA from 1 species